rnacentral:lncRNA from 1 species
CAGAAACUCAUAUUCUUGAGGAUAGGAAUGGUUGAUUUCCAAACACAGCAAGGCUGAUUUACCAAGCAAUUAUCAAAUUCCAACAAUUUACAAAUACAUUGCUAAAGCCAGACACUGCAGCCUGUGUGAAGCUUCGCAGCAGCAAAGAUGUAUACAGGAAGAUGCUUAAAGAUAAUUAGAUUUCAUUCAUUCUCUCUAACGCCUAUGUUACGUUUUGGAUAAGAUGCCACCAGACCACCUUGUGUUGAAAAAAGAAACCAGAAUGUUGGGGGCUGUCCAAGUAAUGAUUGGCCUGAUCAACGGUGCUCUGGGACGUAUCUGGCUACUUUUUUAU